GAAAAAACGAAAAUCGGAUAACGGGACUUUGAUUCGUUUUUCGUAAUCUCGUUUUUGACACAGGGGGCAACCCGGAAGUAGUUUCCGCAGAUUCUUAUUGUGAAAAUCUGCUGCACUGCGCCCGCUGUAGCUGUCUUUCGUCCAGGGAAAGUGAUCAUUUUAUUGUUGUUUUGUGACCGUAAAAGGAAAAUCGGAGACCGGAGGACAUGAUAAUACAUCCUUUCCAGGUGAAGUUUCUAGAAGCAAAGUUCCAGAACAGUUUCUGCCAGAAGAACAGAGGGCAGCUCUACGAGGAAGUACAACGGAGACUCAAGUCAAGUCUCUAGAAGCAAAAUUCCAGAAAAGUUUUUGCCAGAAGAACAGAGGGCAGCUCUACAAUCAAAGGAUUUUAGUGGAGCUGGGGUCCAGUGCCGAGGAAGCUGGGAGCACGUGUGAGCAGGAGCUGGGGUCCAUUACCGAGGUAUCUUAGUCGAGCUCUCGCCUU